rnacentral:lncRNA from 1 species
AGAUGUAUAAGACAAUAAUCGCUCCUACCUUGAUGAAGGCAGAGAAGAAUGACUUAUAGAGGGGUGAGGCUUGUUUCAGCAGGGCUGCUGUCUCUGGAGCUGAGAACUUGGAAACGCAAUAUGUGCUCUGGAAUGAAAGAUCAUGGUGCAUCUGGAGAUAAGUAUGAGAUCACAAUACAGAAGCUGCUGAAAGCAGAAUACAUUCCUAUAGUAAAUCAGGCAUAUAGAGAUUCAUAUUCUUUUUUUGGCAUGAGGUGUGAGUGGGAGUGCAGUACACUAACUGGAAGGUAUUGAAGGAGUUAACAAAA